GUUAAGACGAUGAAAACUGGAUUGGCAAAUAAGAUACAGGAGAAAAGGGUCAUGGCUGAGUCACUUAAGGCAACCAUAAAAGAUGCAGCAGAAACUGAAACAGAAUAUAGGUUACUGAAAAUGAGAAGGAAUGAGCUGAGGGGUGAGCUGAUUAGUGGAAUCAAAGGCUUUGUGAGAUUGCGGGCAACGGAGAUGUUGCUGAUGGAG
rnacentral:lncRNA from 1 species